AACGAACGCUGGCGGCAUGCCUAACACAUGCAAGUCGAACGAACCCUUCGGGGUGAGUGGCGCACGGGUGCGUAACACGUGGGAACCUGCCCUUAGGUUCGGAAUAACAGUUAGAAAUGACUGCUAAUACCGGAUAAUGUCUUCGGACCAAAGAUUUAUCGCCUUUGGAUGGGCCCGCGUAGGAUUAGCUAGUUGGUGAGGUAAAGGCUCACCAAGGCGACGAUCCUUAGCUGGUCUUAGAGGAUGAUCAGCCACACUGGGACUGAGACACGGCCCAGACUCCUACGGGAGGCAGCAGUGGGGAAUAUUGGACAAUGGGCGAAAGCCUGAUCCAGCAAUGCCGCGUGAGUGAUGAAGGCCUUAGGGUUGUAAACCUCUUUUGCCAAGAUAGACAUAUCUUGGAGAAUCAGCAUCCGCUAACUACGUGCCAGCCGCCGCAGUAAGAC
rnacentral:rRNA from 1 species